rnacentral:rRNA from 1 species
AGCGAACGCUGGCGGCAGGCUUAACACAUGCAAGUCGAGCGGGCCCUUCGGGGUCAGCGGCCGACGGGUGAGUAACGCGUGGGAAUGUGCCCUUCGGUUCGGAAUAACUCAGGGAAACUUGAGCUAAUACCGGAUACGCCCUUAUGGGGAAUGGUUUACUGCCGAAGGAUCGGCCCGCGUCUGAUUAGCUAGUUGGUGAGGUUAUGGCUCACCAAGGCGACGAUCAGUAGCUGGUCUGAGAGGAUGAUCAGCCACACUGGGACUGAGACACGGCCCAGACUCCUACGGGAGGCAGCAGUGGGGAAUAUUGGACAAUGGGGGCAACCCUGAUCCAGCCAUGCCGCGUGAGUGAUGACGGCCUUAGGGUUGUAAAGCUCUUUUCUCCGGGACGAUAAUGACGGUACCGGAGGAAUAAGCCCCGGCUAACUUCGUG